AUUAAAAACUAAAUAAUUGUUGUGUUCACUGAUUAUAUCUAAAAGGCUAGAAACUAAUAAAGUUGCUUUAUGUGGUAACAAAACAUACGCUAUAACGCCAGAGAUGUUUUGACAGCUCGAUCGCUAAGAUCUUAUGGCAAUUAAUUCCACCGGCAAGUCUUCGUUUGGUCAAGUUAGCCAGAACGUGGCAGUAAUGAACGUCACAGUAAACAAAACAAAUUCAUAUGGUCAUAUGGUCAUGAGGAAACAAUCGCAUCAAUGGCAAUGUCAAUGAUGGGUGUGUUCUUGACACUUGGAUUAGCAGUGGAGUUUGGUAUGGAAGUGUCAAGUGAAAUCAAGUUUGCUUGUUCAUACAUGUGGAUGCUUGGAGCGGCAGGCUCAUUUUUUCACUUGACAUCACUUACAUGGCAAACCCUUGCCACUGGUAAAUAUUCUAUACGUAGUCGACAGAUGUUAUCUACGAAGAAAGUUAUCAUCCUAUGCAUAACAAUGUGGUUUGUGGCCAGUUGCAUUGCUUUAGGAGAAAUUUCACAUGAAAUUUUCGAUAUUUCGUUCGAGC